AGUUCAAUUUUUCUGAGUAACUAGGCAAUAAGAACCCUGUCACUUCUGUGUUGACAAAGUAUCUUAGUUACUGAGUAACUAUAGAGAUGUUUCCCUUAUGCUUGACGUAAUUAUCAAAAUGCCUUUCAUUAGCUGGUGAAAAUGUUAAAGCUCAAAGCGUAAUUCCUAGAAUGUAGUUUGCUGUUUGUUGUGGCAUACAAAUCAGAGCAGCACAGGCCAGCUAUGCACUCACAGCUAAAAAGACUUUCAAUUUAUUUCUUCUUGCCAGCAGGCCCUUAGAAGCAAACUGGAGCACCUGAGGCUGUCCGCCAAAUCAAAUUCCAAAUUUGGGCUGCCCCGGGCACGCGGGCAGGACCUGAAGAGACAGCCGCAGACGUGUCCAGCAGACACAGCUAUAGCACGAGUCACAAACUACUUUGUUUCUCUUUAAGCUCCAGCUCCUGGAGUCCCGUGAUUAGGUGAUGUUCUCCAGGCCCCCUGUCAGCCCUGUGGCCACCCCCCACACCGUGUCCGACCGGGAUGUGCUCCUUCUCAGGGUGUCAUACCCCAAAACCAACUGCCUGACCUCCAGCUGCAGCUCCGCCCCUGCAGGGUAGAGGAAAAGGGCUUCUGCUCGCGCCUUGCAAGCUGUACCCUUGUUUGCACGUCCCAGCAUGGUGUUUGCCUUUGUCUUAGAAACACGGUGCUCCCAGGCUUUAGCUCGCAAGCCAGGGUCCUGCCCAGCCAUCUGCCAGCCAGGCUAUUGCCUGGCUGGAUUUGUCCAUUGUUCCUGCCCGAUAGCACCGUCUUGUAUCAACUUGUCCCUGCUCUGAACUGCACCCUCUGUUUCUCCCCAUCCCACCCCACGGGAUGGGGGUGCAGACCAGCGUAGCGUCCCUGCUGCCCUUGGCUGCACCAGUGAUGAUGCCAAGCGGUGCCAGCCCUGGCACCAGCCUGCCCAGUUGUUCCUGGUACAUCUUGCCACCACGGCUGCUGCCCCUCACCCUCUUGCGACAGUUUUCCGGCAAGCUUUGUGUCACCCUCUCAUAAAUCUCUCUUUUGAGUUACUUAUGAUGAGAAGGACAUCAGAGACACUGUCAAAAGUACUCAGAAGCCAAGAUACAUGGCAUUUACUGCCUCUCUCCUUUCUGUAAGAAUGGUGACUGGCUGGAAAAGGAAAUAAAUUUGCUUUCGCUCA